rnacentral:rRNA from 1 species
UGGGGAAUUUUGGACAAUGGGCGAAAGCCUGAUCCAGCAAUGCCGCGUGUGUGAAGAAGGCCUUCGGGUUGUAAAGCACUUUUGUCCGGAAAGAAAUCCUUGGCUCUAAUACAGUCGGGGGAUGACGGUACCGGAAGAAUAAGCACCGGCUAACUACGUGCCAGCAGCCGCGGUAAUACGUAGGGUGCAAGCGUUAAUCGGAAUUACUGGGCGUAAAGCGUGCGCAGGCGGUUUGCUAAGACCGAUGUGAAAUCCCCGGGCUCAACCUGGGAACUGCAUUGGUGACUGGCAGGCUAGAGUAUGGCAGAGGGGGGUAGAAUUCCACGUGUAGCAGUGAAAUGCGUAGAGAUGUGGAGGAAUACCGAUGGCGAAGGCAGCCCCCUGGGCCAAUACUGACGCUCAUGCACG